UUCAGAACAGAGGCUAGAGGAAAGAGGGCGAGGAGAAGAAAACCAAAUUGUGUGGCUUAAUUGACUAAAACAGACCGUUUGAGAUUAUUAUUUAAUUCCAUCGGUCCUCUCUGUCUUCUUUUGGGACAGCCACCCUCUGCAUUGUCAUAGCGUUUCUGCUAGGCGCCGGAGUCGCCAGGGAGAGAGGAGGGGUCGGAUGGUCUGAUUAGCCGGGGAGAAGCCCUCUGUUUCGGUGGGAGGAUGAGCCAUUGAACGGUGCAGCUCUACUGGUUGGAAGCGGGCCAGGGUCGCUGCGUUGUGUGUGGGAGAGAGCUUGUUCAGAAGGAGAUGGGAUGUCUUGGCUCCGUUGUCAGACCGGUUUAACGGAAAACGGGAAUCAGGUUGCAACUCUUCUCCUGUGUGAGUUGCACCGGUCACUAUUGCAUGGAUGCUGAUGCCGUUCUAGGCCGGGGAAACAAGGAUUUUACCAACUGGAUUUAAUGCAUUUUUUAUUGGGAUUAUUUCGGGCUCGACAAAUCUAAAACAUCCGUGUGGGAUUUUAUGUCUGAGCGACCCCGACAUUUUUCAAAGACAGGGAGAUCUUGGACAGGCAGCAUGAACUGACUGGUAUUCAGAAAUCUUGGGAAAGCAGAAGAGUCAUUUGGGAGAGAAUAUACACACAGACCAGACUAUGGCUGACUGACGUCUCAUAUAGACCUACAUUCUGAGUAUGUGGGAGAACUAAACUCCAGGAACUGGGGAGUGACCUAUAGUUCUGCAUAGCGCACGUCACAGCAGAUGACAAAGGUUCUCCUAUUAUUAGGAGGAUGGAGAAGACAGCUCCUGGGAGAGGUGGAGGGUGUGUGUGAGUGCAGCCACUCUAAGCAGAAUGGGAGGGACACAAAACCCAUCAAAGGAAGCUGGAGCCUGCAGCCUAAAGACACACACGCGCACACACACACACACACACACACACACACACACACACACACACACACACACAUACACACACACACACACACACACACACAUACACUGGCAGCAGCCUAAGGGCAGAACUCACACAGGGAUGUGUGUUGACAUAGUGCUGAACUAUCCCUCUCUCUCUCUCUCUGUCUCGCUCUGUCCUCAGUCCGCUGCCAAUUCUCACCUCCAAUCUCUCACCCUACUGCUAUAUUGGAGCACAUGGUGAGGUGUACUUACUGCCCACACAAAGUCACACGAACAUCUGGUAUAGUGAUCCUAUGUUAUAAGAGGUGUGCCAGCAGAGUUAUGCCAGUUGCCAGGGGGAUGACUCAGGGUGUUUAUCAAUAGGUGAUGGCUGACUGUCCACCUGCCCUCGGUCCACUGUCUUGCUGUCCCUGGAAAACAUUAGGGGUGGAAAAGGGCUCCCCUGGCUAAAAGGAAUUCACAAGCCUGCUAGCCAUUCAAAAACCAAUGAUUUCACAUGGUUUCACAAGUUCGCUCCCAUUGUGUGUGUGUGUAACAUGUUACUGUGUCUGAAGGGGCUACUGGAUGUGUGUGUGUGUGUGUGAUUUGGAGAUGGACAACUAUAGAGAACACAUCAGAGUGUGUGUGUCUGACGUGACAUGUUUUGGAGAUAGGAAGGACAUUAAAAACACAUUAGGACACAUAACCCAUUUCACCCCUUUGGGGGUUCUUGUGCUAUGGCUUUUCUCUCUCCCAGUCUUUACCCUCCUUCUUCCCCCUGUCCCUCUUUCCCCCUCCUCUCCCUCCCUCCUCUUCCCCCAGAUGUGAGGAUGUGGGCAGGGCCUGAAGAGUUUGUGUUCCCCAGGGUCUCCUCUUCCUGUUACACUGCAGAGACAGUCCACAUGUGCUCAACACACACACGUGCAUACACACACUAACACGCACUCCCACACUCACAUAUGCACACACUGACACACACAUAAUGUAUGCAUGUACACACACACAACCAUACUCCCACAUACAGUACAACACAAUAACAGACACUUGCAGAUUAGCAACAUUGUGUUGGAAAGGAUAGUGUGUGUAUGUGUCAGUCUGAUGUACUGUCGUUCCACCUGCUCCAAUGUUUACACCCAAACUUGGCAGCGUAGUAAUGCCAGUUUUGGCUAACACACACACACAGACAUACACAGACACAUUAUGAACACAAGAUAAUACAGUGAAAUAGGAGGGAAAGAGAAAGAAUGGCCUGUCUGUCUAAUGCUCUGAUUGUCUAGCUGUUGGUGGACUUCCCCCUUUAGGAGAGGAAUGUCAGAAAUAUCCAGCAGGAAGACACACACACACACAGGAAAUAUAAUCUAUUGGUCUAUUGUGGUUUCAGCUCAGCUAACCUUGUUAAGUCUAAGAUGAAUUUAAACAUUCUACAGCACUGCGUGUGUCUGUGUGCUCUAUGCUGAGAGGAGGAGCAAAGACCACAUGCCCUUGUUCACAUGUUCACUUGUGAUUUGUAGUUUUUUGGUUAUUAGUGCAUGAUUAGUGUUGAAUCCAUAUUGCAAUGCUAGUUUUCAGAUGUUUUACUGAGAAAAAAUAGUAUCACUGAGCUUUAAUAAGCUUUACGUAUCGGCCUCAGGGCCUUCGUCAGAGCUUUUGUGAGUUUUUUUAAUUAGCACACUUCUGUAGACCUAGCCCCACCCACAUCUAGUCCACGCAUCGAAUGGGGUUGGAGGCGAAGGAAAACCAGAUAAGUGCUACCAAAUAUAACAGUAUGCAUUUCAUAAAUAUUCAAAUAAAGUGUGUAUAUAAAACGUAUUAAACACGUCUGUAAAACCACAAUGAGGACCUUGACCUAACAAGCAAGUUUUCAUAAAUCAUUGGGUACAGCAUAAGAAAAAUGCCAAGAGUAAUCUGAAAUAGGGGCAUAAUUCCUGUUCAUGUUGGCUGUGUACU